GAUGAACGCUAGCGGCAGGCCUAAUACAUGCAAGUCGGACGGGAUUCAGGAGCUUGCUUCUGAUGAGAGUGGCGCACGGGUGCGUAACACGUAUGUAACCUACCUUUAUCAGGGGGAUAGCCUCUCGAAAGAGAGAUUAAGCCCGCAUAAAAUCACAGCACAGCAUUGUGUAAUGAUCAAAUAUUUAUAGGAUAAAGAUGGGCAUGCGGAACAUUAGCUAGAUGGCGGGGUAACGGCCCACCAUGGCGACGAUGUUUAGGGGAUCUGAGAGGAUGGCCCCCCACACUGGUACUGAGACACGGACCAGACUCCUACGGGAGGCAGCAGUAAGGAAUAUUGGUCAAUGGGCGGAAGCCUGAACCAGCCAUGCCGCGUGCAGGAAGACGGCCCUACGGGUUGUAAACUGCUUUUAUACGGGAAUAAACCCAGAUACGUGUAUCUGGCUGAAUGUACUGUAAGAAUAAGGGUCGGCUAACUCCGUGC
rnacentral:rRNA from 1 species